GACAGAGGGUGCAAACGUUGCUCGGAAUUAUUGGGCGUAAAGCGCGCGUAGGCGGUUACUCAAGUCGGAUGUGAAAGCCCUCGGCUUAACUGAGGAAGUGCACCCGAAACUGAGUAGCUAGAGUACUAAAGAGGGUCGCGGAAUUCCCGGUGUAGAGGUGAAAUUCGUAGAUAUCGGGAGGAACACCGGUGGCGAAGGCGGCGACCUGGGUAGAUACUGACGCUGAGGCGCGAAAGCGUGGGGAGCAAACAGG
rnacentral:rRNA from 1 species